AGUGAACGCUGGCGGUAGGCCUAACACAUGCAAGCCGAACGGCAGCACAGUAAGAGCUUGCUCUUACGGGUGGCGAGUGGCGGACGGGUGAGGAAUACAUCGGAAUCUACUUUUUCGUGGGGGAUAACGUAGGGAAACUUACGCUAAUACCGCAUACGACCUACGGGUGAAAGCAGGGGAUCUUCGGACCUUGCGCGAUUGAAUGAGCCGAUGUCGGAUUAGCUAGUUGGCGGGGUAAAGGCCCACCAAGGCGACGAUCCGUAGCUGGUCUGAGAGGAUGAUCAGCCACACUGGAACUGAGACACGGUCCAGACUCCUACGGGAGGCAGCAGUGGGGAAUAUUGGACAAUGGGCGCAAGCCUGAUCCAGCCAUACCGCGUGGGUGAAGAGGGCCUUCGGGUUGUAAAGCCCUUUUGUUGGGAAAGAAAAGCAGCAGGUUAAUACCCCGCUGUUCUGACGGUACCCAAAGAAUAAGCACCGGCUAACUUCGUG
rnacentral:rRNA from 1 species